AGAGAGAGAGAGAGAGAGAGAGACUGGGAUUAUUGUCUCAGGGUCACUCAGCUGCAAUAUUUCCUGCUUUAGAGGGCUGCUGCCAUCUUCAUGGGGGGAAUCUUUUAGGAUAUCUCUAGGUUUCUGCACAUAGCACCUCUGAAAGACCAUUUCCUGGAUCCCAUCCUGGGGAAGGCAGGUGUUCCUGAAUAGGCAUCUGAAGCUGAACUCGGGCUUUGUUCAUUCUAACCCACCUCCAUCUAACCUGAGCCGUUUGGCCUUGACCACGUGUCUACUUUUUCUGAAAAGCAGCUGGAAAUGGAGCACUCAGGCACCUUUGGAUCUGGCAGAGGUUCAGGCAGGCAAGCCCAAAAAACCCCCAGAACAAAGAAGCAAACAAACAAACAAACAAACAAACAUUUGCAAUAGAUAGACAGACAGACAGACAGGGCGGGAUGCAUGCUAUCCUGGUAAUUGAAAGCUCUCAUAGAUGGCUGACCCACUACAUUAUUCAGUAUGCUUUCUGAUUCAGUCCUUGCCAGGCAAUGUUAAAAAAAUGGAGUUUCAGAGUAUCUGUUUAACAGGCACAGAGUCCUAGGUUCAGUUUCCAGCACGGUAUAACCCAGAUGUGGUCACGCACACCUGUAAUCCUAGUACUUGGAAAGUGGGGGCAGGAAUAUUCGAAGGUCAAACUGACCCUCAGCUCCAUGGCAAAUCUGAGCUCAACUUAUCUCAAAGAAAGGAAAACACAGUUUUUCAAAGGUCUUUUGAAUUAGGUUAGUGUGCUAUGGUGUAAGUAUAGUGUAGUGUGUGUGUGUGUGUGUGUGUGUAUGUGUGUGUGUGUGUGUGUGUGUGUGUGUGUGUGUGUGUUUGCACUGGGAACCGAGCCCACAUCCUUAAGCAUGCCAAGCACACACUCUAAUGCUGAGCUCUCUUAACCUAUUUUCAAGGUUAUUAUUAUUUUUAAACCAAGGUUAGCUUGCUUGCCUUUGACAGAGAACUUAAUGAUAAAGAACUUUCCAUCAGCUCGUGUGUGUGUGUGUGUGUGUGUGUGUGUGUGUGUGUGUGUGUGUGUGUGUGUGUGUAAUUAAUUAAUCAGAAGGAACCAAUAACCUUGGGUUUGAAUUCUAAGUGCCGUUACAAUGAAGAUAAAAGUAAAAUCAUGACUUUGUGAAAGUGUUUAAUUAAUACAUGUCAAGGGUGCUUUGUUUUAAUGAGGAAACCAGUAAAAUGUAAAAAAAAAAAAAAAAGAAACCUAUUCUUUGCAGAAUUCAAAUGCUAUACAAACAUAGGCAAUCAGGAACUGGGAAAGAAUUUGCAAGUAAAUGCAAAACAAGGGAGCAUCUACAUGAUAGUAAUGACCGUUUCUCCAAUAGACAAAGUUCAUUUCCACAGACGGGGUGACUCACCCUACUACUGUCCACCUUUUACAAUGCACAGAGUAAGGAGAGCCGAGAGACUCCCCAAAAGGCAGAUAAGGUGGGAGAAUUCUCUAGGAAAAAAACUCACUAAUGUGGUUUUUCCCACUUCAAAAUCUUUCACAUUAAAACAAGUAUUGGUGAGCAUGAACAUGCAAGCAUCUUCCUGUAUCCGGAAUAAUUUUUGUUUCAUCUGUGAAUUGGAGCAGGUGUCUCUUCCUUGGUUUGUCUUGGAGAUUAAAAAUGAUUACAUAUAUAUAUAUAUAUAAAUAUAUGUAUAUUUUCCCUUAGGCUGAAUAUAUAUGUACAUAGACAUGCAUUCACACACAGACACACACACACACACACACACGCUCAAUAGUAAAACUCUUUCCUCUUUAUUUUCCUUAACGCUGGAUUUGUUCCCAGCAAAUCUUUCUUCAUGCGUUUGUUUAUUUGACGUGUGUUGAAGGUUUGCUGUACCAGACACGUGCUGAGCGCAUGCAUAGCUAGAGAACACACGGUGAACGCCUCACAGGCUCUAGGCAUGACUGUUGGGAGGGAACUGACAAGGGAAGCAUUAGUUGUGGUUUUCUGUGACACACUGUACUGAGAAUCCUGGAGGGCAUCCUUGCAGAGGUCAGACAGUGUCUGACGGCAGUGACUUGGGGACCAAGGGUCUGGCCCUUGGGCAGGCUGUGUUCUUCUUAGUUCCUUCUAGAAGAGAAAUGAUGUCUGUAGGUUGUGGUGCUGGCUAAACGAGCUUGGACACACUUGAAUACAAUAUUUGCUAAUACUAUUUGGUGGCAUUACCAAGCAUGGAUAAAAUCCAAGUUAUGGAAAGACAAAAGUCACACGUUUGCUAUUAAACUGAAUGAUUAGACCACACUUAAAUACAAACUCACGUUAUACAUACACGUGAUCCUUCACAAAGGUUAUAUUGGCACAGGAGUAACUUAAGCAUCUCUCAUCUGUGCAUUGGAGGAACUGGAAGUGUACCUGGGUGGUAUACCAAGGGCUAUACUCAUGUUUGUAGGCUCUCUGCUAUUAAAAGAUUUUCUUCCGAGGCAGAUAGAGUCUGAGUUAACCUUUUUAGCUCCAAGUCCUUUGAGAGUCAGCUCCUUAUCUUACCUUUUUUAUUUUAUUAAUCCUUUAAGAAAUUAUACAUACAUAUAUAUAUUCACAGGUGAGGAGGCAGGUACAAGAUAGAAGGAGUCCUGUCAUUGGACGAGAAGGAAGGAUGGGCAGGAGAAAAGUUUGAAGGAAGAGGAGGAGACUGGAACGGAAAGGAGAAGAGACAGGAGGGAGAGGGCGAGAAGCCAUGGCAGGUGAUGUUAGAUUCCGCUCUGUGUAUCUACAGGUUGUUAUUAAUGUUUUUAAGGGAUGGAUGUGUACUGGGCUUUGUAUGUUUAGGUGGGCAAUUAUAUCUUAUCAAUUGGGCCAAAGGUUAUUGUGUUGUGUGUUCGUUCAUGUGUAGAUUUAAGUGUAAUGGAGUGUGGGGCGGCUGGUCUGGGCCACCAUGGAGUUGGAAUGUGUGCUUCUGGCAAGAUAUCCAGCAGAUAUCUUGGGGUACUUUGGUGCUGGGACCUAGUGGGGAUAAAAGAAAACCCGACUUUUUUAUUUUUUAUAUUUUACAACAACAUAUGUGUGUGUGUGUGUAUAAAAUAUUUACUCUCUCAUUUCUUCCAGAUACACCCUAUCUUCCUAUUGCCCCGACUUCAUGUUUUAUUGAUUUAUUUUAUUAAUAACCCAUGAGUCCCGUUUGUGUUGCCAUAUACUCCUAGGUGUGCAGGCAUCCCUGAAGCAUGGUUGACCAACCAGGGGCUGUACCCUUAAGGAACCUGAUUCUCCCUCAUCCAGAAGUCAUCAACUGUCUAUGGCUCCCCAAAUAGGGAUGGGCGCUUGCAGACUCCUUCCCCUCACAUGCUAGAAUGAUGGUUGGCUUGUUUAUCAUAUAGGUUUAAACUCUACACAAGAUGGAUUCUCCAGGACUCCUGCAGGCUCCUACAUUCUGGGUACAGACGUGUGUUCUUAUCUACUGGGAUGGGUGGUUGACUUCAGGGGGUUGGGGCUCACAGUUGUCACUGGCAUGGAAUGGUAUGAAUGCUGUACCCUGGAAGAGUAAUGGUUCUGUUACCGUUUGCUUCAUGCAGGGCCGUGGGUAGCAUUGCUGGGUGUUCUCAUCUGUCUGUAGUAAUACUAGCAUGAAGUAACCUUGACAUAUGAGACGCUUGCCCAAGCAGCACCCAUUCUUGCAGAAGUACAGAGGGAGAAGUGCCAGUCUUGGGCCAGGGUGAAGUGUGUAGUUACUGAAAACCUAAUGGUUACUUUCUUUUGUAAUUAAAACUUCAAACUGCCUUCUUCAAACUGCCCUCCAGGUAAGGGGAAUGGAUUCCCCUGUGUCCAAGGGAGAUGAACCUUUCACAAUCUACGACCUGUAGACAAACCGAACAUGGGAAGAAUAUCAUAGUGGGCUGCUUCUUGCUCUAUCCUGGUGCCCUGUGGUGGAUGGGGGACAGCCUGAAGGUGCUGGGUCUCUGGGGACAGACAUUCACAUUGCUGCAUUGCUGAGAAGAUGCCUUGGUCUGGAAGAGCAUCCCAACUGGACAGGCUCUGCUAAGAGCGCUGUGUGGUUUCUAGCCUGCAGGAGGUACGGGUGGCAAACAUUUUUUGUGCCUUGAAUCUGGGUACAUGAAGCAUCUGCUGCGAGCCAGGUAUUUGAGAGGACUCUUGUUUCUAAUGCACCCCGGAUGUUUGUCCUGACUGAAAGCACAGCAGCUUUGUCUGCACCCCUUCCAAGUGUGCAAAGCCAGGUUCUCCACGAUCAGGUGCUCAUUCUGCUGUUUCCCAUUUUCUGCAGAGUCUCCAGUUUGCCUUGGUCCCCCACUGUUCCUCUUUCAUCAGAAUGACCAAAGCCUGGUCCUUACCACUGCACACUCUAGUUGCUCUAAUUAAACAUUCGAGACCCACCAGGGCAACUCCCUUGCAAUCCUUGCCAUCUUCCAGCUCAUUCUGUUCUUGUCUCUUGGUGGGAAUGCACAGAGACAAUUCAGGGAGGGGAGAGGUCACAGUGACAUUAAGUUGAACUGGGAUAGAUUGGGUUCAGACCUCCUUGAGUACCAGGAACCCUCACCUCAGGAGUCCUUACCUGAUUUCUGCACGGUGCCAAUAGAUGGACUGGAUCAAUGCUCUCCUAGUGACAUGAGUGACCCUCGCUCUGGAACUCAUGGGAAAUGCUAGUUCUGAGUAGGCACCAGAGCACACAGUAGCUGUGUCUUAGCAUGCCUGGGGAAGUGAGAGAGUUCCCAAAGUUCGAGGCCUGGUUAAAAUGAAUGCAAAGCCUCCUUUGAAAGGGACAGCUUAUGCCUAUUGCCUUGACUUGUGGGAUGGCCAAUAGGCAAGGGGGGCGGGGCUUACCCAGAGGAAACAAAACACACAGUCACCCUGGAAGCCGCUUCCAGGCUUCACAGAGUAUGGCAUUACUUGGAUUGUGUUCCACAUUAUUCCCCCACCCCCAACCUCCAGCAAAAGCUGACAGGAGACCCGUGGGAAGGCCCUGAUGUCCCUGAAGAGCUGUUCUUGUCCUGAACAGUCCUUGAAAAGGCUUCCUAAGGCAGCACCUGGAGAGCAGGGCAGACGGCAGCUUUGAGCCCGUCAGAGCAGAUACAGUUUCUCCAUUCGUUCCUGGCACAAUUGGAUUUUCCUUGCUACAUCAAGGCACGUGAAGAUCGCUGGUACUUAGGAAGUGGGACCUCCAACCCAGGAGAAGAUUCUAGAAAGUGUGGCAUAGGCUGAGCAUAUGUGAAGGGGAAUGUGUACUCUGCAUUGGGAACCAUGCCAAGUGCCCGUGUUAUAGUCUGGAUAUAAAAUGGUCCACUGGAGGCUUGAGACAUGGCCCAGAGGCUACUAGUGCCUGCCGCUGUUGUAGAAGAAAUAGGUUCAAUCCCUGGAACUUACAAUGGCUUGUAACUCUUGGAGAUGUGAUACCUUCUUCUGGCCUUUGAUUUCUCUAUAUAGCCCUGGCUGUCCUGGAACAGGCUGUGGAGACCUGCGGAGACCAUCUUGGCCUUGAACUCAGAGACCACUGCCACACACUACCACAAAAACAUACAUCUUUCACAAAAGGUUUGUGUGCAGAAGGUUUGGUCUCCAGAACACCCUUCACUCCUUGUCUUCUUGGAGUCUGCUUCUUCACCCAGAAGGACUGAACUUCAGAGCUCCUGGAAGGCUACACCUUCUGAGAUCCUCUAUGACCUGGGCACAGUAGGAUGGAGGGGUGACAUCCAGAAGAGAUACUUCUAAGGGGCCGAGGAGGAUUCUCAAAGCAAGUCUCAUCUUCUCUCAGCAAGGAGAAAAACAAGGAAACAAAAGAGCUGGGGGAUUGGCUACUCAAUUCUCAAUUUUGAGGAAAAUCUAAAGGAAGUCACAGGACCAUGGUCAAUGGCACUGUGUAGGGUCUCAGGAGGGCCUGGCCUCUCUGACUUCCUAUCCAGCAGCCUUUCUGCUCUGGGCUUUGAUCUUCCACCACAACUGGAGUCUGCCUGGAUCUUCACACUCUUCCCCAGGGCUGCCAUGCUAGGAACAUCUCUAGGAAAGACCGGCACAUGCAGUGUGUGACAAGCUGUGCGAUGCCACUUCACUGAGAUCAAUGCUGAGGAAAGAACAGUUUGUACCUUGUGAAGUUAGAAAACCAUCAGACAGAUGACUGUCCUCAGGCAGAGGACAAUUACCUAAAGCUGGCUGGCAGGAGUCCUGCACUACGGAAUGAAGAUCCCGUGCAAAAGAAAUGCUGGGGCUCGAGAACAAUGAAUGGACAGAGGAGGGUGGUUCCUGGGAUCUCUCUUCUAUCCAUUUGUUCCAAGGGCACCUGAGUUCUCAGAGUUCUCUAAGUUCUAAUGUGGCAAGGGUGUGUCCAACCUUGUUGAUUGUUUUUAGAAAAGGCACAAAGAGUCAUUUGUACUUUGGUCUUUGGGUCAGGAGUCUUCAGGUCCAACAUUUUGUUAGGUCUGAUAGACUUCUAGGACUGGCUGGGCUCAGAAGCAAUUAUACACUAUUAUUAUUAUAGGAAGAAAGGGUGUGAGAAACUAUGAAGAAUUAGGCAUAGAUAUUUAAUUCCCCAGUAACACUGGGGAAUGUAAGGCAUGCAUGUAAGGCAUGACUGAGCAGAUGUUUCUAUAAGUAUUAGUGCCCAUGUAAUGCCUGUGUGACUAACACCAGCCUCUUAAAGCUGGAUUCUUGCUGAUUGAAUUGGUACAACAUUGACUGAGACUCAAGGGCUCAAACAAGCCAAUAUGUGUUUACAAGGUAGAACUUUCUAAGGAUGUAGUUCUCCCAGGGGAUGGCCAUUGGUCAGUCCUGGUUCCAGAGGUUUACCAGGAAUGUCUAGGGUUUGAGUAACCCAGAUCUGUUGACUGAAGUUCCCAUCCAUUUUUCCUUUGUAUUUUAGGAUUAAUUUGUCACAUUCCACAAAAUACCCUUGUUGGAAUUCAUAUGUUGAAUAUAGAAAAAUAAUCAGGAUGAAAUGCUUUUCUUUUUGAUAAUGAUUUUUUUCGUGUUAUUUUCUAUUUGUAAAGUGCUUUAUAUCCUGUAGAAUGUUUACAAAUGCUUUAAUAAAGUCUUAUCCAUCUUC